ensembl:lncRNA
GUGGGGAGCACCGUAGGGCAGUUGAGGUGGGGAGCACCGUAGGGCAGUUGAGGUGGGGAGCACCGUAGGGCAGUUGAGGUGGGGAGCACCGUAGGGCAGUUGAGGUGGGGAGCACCGUAGGGCAGUUGAGGUGGGGACGCACCCACAAUGUUAAUCUGCCCCGGCAUGUACCGGCCACUGGAUAGGAGGAUGAGUGGGAACGUGCAGGCCACCUGAUAGGAGGAGUGAGUGGGAACGUGCAGGCCAUCUGAUAGGAGGAGUGAGUGGGAACGUGCAGGCCAUCUGAUAGGAGGAGUGAUGGGAACGUGCAGGCCAUCUGAUAGGAGGAGUGAGUGGGAACAUGCAGGCCACUGGAUAGGAGGAGUGAGUGGGAACAUGCGGCCACUGGAUAGGAGGAGUGAGUGGGAACAUGCAGGCCACUGGAUAGGAGGAGUGAGUGGGAACAUGCAGGCCACUGGAUAGGAGGAGUGAGUGGGAACAUGCAGGCCACUGGAUAGCAGGAGUGAGUGGGAACAUGCAGGCCACUGGAUAGGAGGAGUGAGUGGGAACAUGCAGGCCACUGGAUAGGAGGAGUGAGUGGGAACAUGCAGGCCACUGGAUAGGAGGAGUGAGUGGGAACAUGCAGGCCAUCUGAUAGGAGGAGUGAGUGGGAACAUGCAGGCCACUGGAUAGGAGGAGUGA